UACGAAGGGGGCUAGCGUUGCUCGGAAUCACUGGGCGUAAAGCGCACGUAGGCGGCUUUCUAAGUCAGGGGUGAAAUCCGGCAGCUCAACUGUCGCAGUGCCUUUGAUACUGGAGAGCUCGAGGGAGGUAGGGGUCUGUGGAACUUCCGGUGGAGCGGUGAAAUGCGUUGAUAUCGGAAGGAACGCCGGUGGCGAAAGCGACGGACUGGAUCUCUUCUGACGCUGAGGCGCGAAAGCCAGGGGAGCAAACGGG
rnacentral:rRNA from 1 species